GCUGUACAAGACCCUCGCUGCUCUACAUUUGCACGUCUUGCUAUACUAGUUGCUACGCACACGCUCUUCCCAGCUUGGAGACGUCUUCUCAUCCUUUGCUUGGAAAGUCCACAGCACUAUACCUGCGUGGAGACAUCUUCUCAUCCUUUGCUUGGAAAGGUAGACUCUCCAGAAUCCACAGUCGUCCAGACCUGCGUAGUGAUGUUCAGUACAGGUGCAGCCAGCCAUCUGUGAAGUGUGUGAUGUCGUGAUUACAAAUUUGAGCUCAGCGCGGUUCGUCGAGAAUUAACCUGCAAAUUGAAUAAAACGGU
rnacentral:rRNA from 1 species